GUAGGUGGCAAGCGUUGUCCGGAAUUAUUGGGGCGUAAAGCGCGCGCAGGCGGUUCUUUAAGUCUGAUGUGAAAGCCCACGGGCUCAACCGUGGAGGGUCAUUGGAAACUGGAGAACUUGAGUACAGAAGAGGGAAGCGGAAUUCCACGUGGAGCGGUGAAAUGCGUAGAGAUGUGGAGGAACACCAGUGGCGAAGGCGGCUUUCUGGUCUGUAACUGACGCUGAGGCGCGAAAGCGUGGGGAGCAAACAGGAUUAGAUACCCUGGUAGUCCACGCCGUAAACGAUGAGUGCUAAGUGUUAGGGGGUUUCCGCCCCUUAGUGCUGCAGCUAACGCAUUAAGCACUCCGCCUGGGGAGUACGGCCGCAAAGGCUG
rnacentral:rRNA from 1 species